AAACAUCUGAAGUCAAGGGCUUCCUGUAAUACUUUCUAUUCUCUAAAUAGGCAUACCCCUGACAUUGCUGAGAUAUAUUCUUUGAAAAUAUGGCUGUAUUUUGGGAUAAAUGAUCCUAUAGGUUAUCAUGCAGUUAGUGAGGUUCCAUUCUAGAACCAGCUGAGACACGACGACAAACCCUACAGGCAGCCGGCUCCAUCAGGUCAUCCCCUCCCCUCCCUGGCUUCCAGCCUCGGCCUACAAGGGUGCAACCGCCUUGGCAACCGUGGCCACGGCAGCUGCUGUUGCCUCCAUCCUGCUCCAGACUUUUCCUUGCCACGGCUGGGCCUGAAGCGGGCUACAACUGAGAAAGGGAGAGCAACCACCACCCGGAGUACGGCUGCAGUGAGAAAGGACUGGCAGAAGAAGAGAGCUGAAGAGGCCUGCUCUCCAAAUUAUCUGAAAAGGACAGCCAUAACUGUGAGGGGAUGUUUGGAGGAAGAGUGCAAGAGAUCUUAUGGAACAAGCAUCUAAUAAACAUGAACAAGUGUCUGAUA